GGAGAGUAAAACGAUCUGGCGGCGUUCGCGGACUUCAAAUCCGAUGACGGAGCAGUUGACUGUUUCGUGGGAGGUUCGAUUCCUUCACUCUCUCGCCA
rnacentral:tRNA from 1 species